rnacentral:lncRNA from 1 species
AUUUGGGGCCUAAGUAAAGGGCCUGUUAGCUCCCUGUAUGCAAUGCUAUUUUCUGCCGUGACACUUCCUUCCCUAAGAUGUGCUGCUUAUGUUAUUCUUUCAACUGAACCUGUGUCUCACUUAGCUUUGCACUCUGUUGACAAGACAGGUUCCUCUGAUGGAGAUGCUUGCAAGAACCAGGACACUGACGGUUCUACUACUGCCGACAAGACAAGUUCCUCUGAUGGAGAUGCUUACAACAACCAGGACAUUGAUGGUUCUACUGAAGAAAGUCUUCAUCUUAGGGAAGAAGUUUCUUCCCUGCUGGAAAAACUACCAUUUGAAGCUCUUGAAAU